rnacentral:rRNA from 1 species
CAAUAGCGUAUAUUUAAGUUGCUGCAGUUAAAAAGCUCGUAGUUGGAUUUCGGGUGGGAAUGGCCGGUCCGCCGUUUCGGUGUGCGCUUGCUACGCCCACCUUGCUGCCGGGGACGUGCUCUUGAGUUCACGCUCGGGACACGGAGUCGGCGAGGUUACUUUGAGUAAAUUAGAGUGUUCAAAGCAGGCCUACGCUCUGAAUACAUCAGCAUGGAAUAACACGAUAGGACUCUGGCCUAUCUUGUUGGUCUGUAGGACCGGAGUAAUGAUUAAGAGGGACAGUCGGGGGCAUUCGUAUUUCAUUGUCAGAGGUGAAAUUCUUGGAUUUAUGAAAGACGAACUACUGCGAAAGCAUUUGCCAAGGAUGUUUUCAUUAA